rnacentral:rRNA from 1 species
GCGCACCCUCGUUCUAUGUUGCCAGCACGUAAUGGUGGGAACUCAUGGGAUACUGCCGGGGUCAACUCGGAGGAAGGUGGGGAUGACGUCAAAUCAUCAUGCCCCUUAUGUCUUGGGCUUCACGCAUGCUACAAUGGCCGGUACAAUGGGCUGCAAUACCGUGAGGUGGAGCGAAUCCCAAAAAGCCGGUCCCAGUUCGGAUUGAGGUCUGCAACUCGACCUCAUGAAGUCGGAGUCGCUAGUAAUCGCAGAUCAGCAACGCUGCGGUGAAUACGUUCCCGGGUCUUGUACACACCGCCCGUCAAGUCACUGAAAGUCGGUAACACCUGAAGCCGGUGGCCUAACCCCUUGUGGAAGGAAC